rnacentral:misc_RNA from 1 species
GGGCGCUCUGCCCCUAUUGUCAAGCUUGGAGAUGCAUCCAUGGCAUCACCAUUCACCGCAAAGCAUGCCUCUGUUGCUCCUACUACUGACAUUAUUCGCCAAGGCCGAAGUACUCUAGUGACAACUCUACAGAUGUUCAAAAUACUCGGUCUCAACUGCCUCGCUACUGCCUAUGUACUGAGUGUUAUGUAUUUGGAUGGUGUAAAGCUUGGCGAUAUUCAAGCCACUAUCAGUGGAGUAUUCACAGCAGCCUU